GACGAACGCUGGCGGCGUGCUUAACACAUGCAAGUCGAACGGAAAGGCCUGCUUUCCCUUGUGUAUUGCGGGUACUCGAGUGGCGAACGGGUGAGUAACACGUGAGUGAUCUGCCCCCAACUUGGGUAUAAGCCUGGGAAACUGGGUCUAAUUCCCGAUAGGACUGCAGGGUGGUGCCUGUGGUGGAAAACGAUUUUCUAGUGGUUGGGGAUGAGCUCGCGGCCUAUCAGCUUGUUGGUGGGGUAAUGGCCUACCAAGGCGGCGACGGGUAGCCGGCCUGGGAGGGUGGACGGCCACAUUGGGACGGAGAUACGGCCCAGACUCCUACGGGAGGCAGCAGUGGGGAAUAUUGCACAAUGGGCGGAAGCCUGAUGCAGCGACGCCGCGUGGGGGAUGACGGCCUUCGGGUUGUAAACUCCUUUCGACCGCGAGGAAGCCACCUGGUUGGAAGGGUGGUGACGGUAGUGGUAGAAGAAGCACCGGCUAACUACGUG
rnacentral:rRNA from 1 species